rnacentral:rRNA from 1 species
GUCCACGCAGUAAACGAUGAUUACUAGCUGUUUGCGAUAUAAUGUAAGUGGCUAAGGGAAACCGAUAAGUAAUCCACCUGGGGAGUACGUUCGCAAGAAUGAAACUCAAAGGAAUUGACGGGGGCCCGCACAAGCGGAGGAACAUGUGGUUUAAUUCGAUGAUACGCGAGGAACCUUACCCGGGCUUGAAAUGUGAGAGACGAAUCAGGAAACUGAUUUUCCAGCAAUGGCUCUCAUGUAGGUGCUGCAUGGUUGUCGU